ensembl:lncRNA
UAAUCUUUGGGGAAAAUGGGGUUUGAAAUAUACAUUGCAUAUUUGCAUCUAAUUUAAUUCAGGAUUGUGACAUGAUUAAAUUAAGUACAUCUAAAAAUACCAGGACUGUUAUGGGAAGAACUCUUCUGCCUGUUAUAGGAAGAUGUAUGAGGCUGUGAAGUAGGUUUUCACUGCUCACAUUUGUGAAUGCACAAAAGGAGCAACUUUACCCUAAAAUAGGCUUUUUAUCCUUCCUAAAUUUCUUUUAUGAAGCAGAAAUUGUGCAGGAUCAUCUAUGACUGCCACCUACUGAUACACUGACAAACAGCCAGCAGAGAUAGGAAAAAUAUCAAGCUUCAACUAGAAUGGCCUAUGAAGAGCGCUUUAAAUUAUUAGAUGCUGGACAGUGAGCACUUCAGUUUUCAUGGUCUGCAUUUGGUAAGCUCCUGUGCCCAACAUGUUGUGCUGUGCUUCAUGUGCCAGAGGGACAAUCUGAGUCUGUAAUGUCAGAAGAGUACAUCUGCACAGUAAGAACAGAAUGAAAAUGGUAGAUUCACCAUGCUGAAGGUCAAGGAGACCUUUCUCUUUGCUGUCUGUGUUCAGAAGGACCAGAGGGAUGAAUAACUUCUCAAGGUAGCAGUAAUCUUAUGCUCUCCUUCAUCUAACGUUAUCAAAACCUGUUUAAUCAGGCUGAAGUUACCCUCCUGGCUACCCAGCUUCAGCAAGUGGCGGUUAUGGGUUAGAUGUGAAACUGAGCUUGGACUAUUAACAUCUCCUAAAUGCCUCCCCAAAAUCAAGAAUAUUACCAUCACUUCUUGGCCAUCAUCCUGUCACGGUAAUGACAUUUCAAUUGUUUGAACUCCUCCGUGGGACUGUAGCCAAAUAACAGAUUCCUUGCUGGAAUAAAGCAUUCCACUCAGAAACACAACUGGUUUUGAGUGCUGUCAUGUUUAUGCAGUUCUCUGCCAAAGCAAAGCACACUCUUGUUUUUAUUGGAUUAAUAAAGGAUUGUUCUGGAAAACAAUGCUAUUAUUAUACGUGACUUUUUGGAAGAGACCCUCUGCAGAUAACCGUAGCGUUGCACAAAGAAAGAUUAACCAGGAAGGUUGUUUUCUUGCUUUUCUGAGCUCUGCUGAGUGCUAGAACGCAAGUCAUAGAGGAGAACCUCCUGCAUCCCACUCACAACUGAGGGCAACCAUUCCUGGCGGUGGGACAGGCCUGCAGGACAUCACAGCUUCACGGCUUUGCCACCAGCGACAAAGGAGAGCUGAGCUGGGAGGAGCAGGUAAAAAUGGGGUCUGCCGCAGUGUGGGAGCUUGCUCCAGCCACAGCGUCCCUCCGUCGGCUCUCUCUGUGGGACCACCACGUCUGUAAGCUCUACGUGCUGUGCGGAGGCAUCUUCACGGCGAAGCACCUCCGUUUAACUCAAGGCCCUUUCUCCUUUCCACGGAGCCACGCAGAGGCACGGAGGACAGGCUGUCAAAGCCCAGCACUGAGAUGAGACGCCCACAGGCAGCCGUGCCGAGGGCGCGCUG